rnacentral:rRNA from 2 species
UGGGGAAUAUUGCACAAUGGAGGGAACUCUGAUGCAGCGACGCCGCGUGAACGAAGAAGGCUUUCGAGUCGUAAAGUUCUUUUAUAUGGGAAGAUAAUGACGGUACCAUAAGAAAAAGCCCCGGCUAACUACGUGCCAGCAGCCGCGGUAAUACGUAGGGGGCUAGCGUUGUCCGGAAUCACUGGGCGUAAAGGGUUCGCAGGCGGAAAUGCAAGUCAGGUGUAAAAGGCAGUAGCUUAACUACUGUAAGCAUUUGAAACUGCAUAUCUUGAGAAGAGUAGAGGUAAGUGGAAUUUUUAGUGUAGCGGUGAAAUGCGUAGAUAUUAAAAAGAAUACCGGUGGCGAAGGCGACUUACUGGGCUCAUUCUGACGCUGAGGAACGAAAGCGUAGGUAGCAAACAGG